AUACAAUACGGUCGAACAUUAUGGAUUCUACAAGAGAAAGACGGGGCCAUGAACAAUGAGGCUCGAGUGUCGUCUCGAGAGAGAAAAGAACGAAAGAAAGAAAGAAAGAGUCCAAAGUAGGAUGAACCGUGAACAGUCUUGAUUCCUUGGUUGCCAUCGCUGAGUGCAGCUCCGGAGGCUUCUCUGCGCUCUUUGCUUCUUUCUUCCUUCGAUCUUCGCCCUCCGACACCCUAUUUUCCUGCGGCUUCUAAUGGCUCUCGAGGGUCCCUGUCUUAUCGGUAACCCGUUUUCCACGGAUCCGUUCUCAAUGAAGAAUCUGUACUUCUAUUUUCCAGUGUCCUCACGGCGACACGGGGACGGAGCGAUCCCGCGAACCGGGAAACGGCGGCUCCAACGUUGGAGGACAUCGGGGAUUCGCGGGGAACAUGAACGUUACGGCCGGGCCUGACUCUUUGCUCUACCCGUACAUUUUUCCUCUGGACGAGCAAGAAAGAAAGAUGCGAGAAGGAUAGAGGAUUGGGCACGUUUCGUGUUGGCUUUGCUGGUGGACACAUCAGUGAGGUUAGCUGGUAGACCCUGUCUCAGACCGGUCUUCGACGAAUGGUUAACACUUUGUCUACUGGAAACGUAUAAAUUGGAUUCGCAAGAAUAGUGCUGUAUGAAAAAGUAAUGUCGAAAGAAAUGGUUGGACUAGGUUUUCUGAGAUGAUAUGGUAGAUCAGAGCUUUAAUUGCUGUGGCUAUUGAGGAAUGGAUAUUAAAGAAUACUUGGGUAUUGUUGAUUCUUUAGAGACUAUUAGUAUAGAUACAGUGUUGACAUAUUGACUGUUGAAAUAUCGGGAAGUUUUUGCAAAAUUGAAGUACUCUGUUUGAUUAAAUAGAAACUGAUGGAAGUAAAUAUGAUUAGAAGUAAUUAACAGUAUGAAUUAUCUAGUUUUGAUUCAUUUAACGGAGAAUAACUUUUAGAAAUGUUCUCGAAAUUUUGCAUAAAUGAACUGUAGAGUUCAUUUUUUCUCGACAUUUAGAAUCUGGGCUUCGAAUAAAGUAAUACGAAUCGCAAAAGGUUAAAAAGCUCAUUUUCGAUUGUUAAAAGAUUAGGGACAGUGUGCAUGAAUUAACAUAUUUUCCAGCAUCGUCUGCAAGAAGUAUAAAAUAAAUACUCGG